UUGACGGAGAGUUUGAUCCUGGCUCAGGACGAACGCUGGCGGCGUGCUUAAUACAUGCAAGUCGAACGAUCCCGGGACUUCGGUCCCAAUGGGAGAGUGGCGAACGGGUGCGUAACACGUGAGAAACCUAUCCCGGAGAUGGGAAUAGCCCAGGGAAACCUGGAUUAAUGCCCAAUACCCUGAGAGCGCCGCAUGGCGCAUUCAGGAAAGGUUCCGGCGCUUUGGGAGGGUCUCGCGGCCUAUCAGCUUGUUGGUGAGGUAAAGGCUCACCAAGGCAUCGACGGGUAGCUGGUCUGAGAGGACGAUCAGCCACACUGGGACUGAGACACGGCCCAGACUCCUACGGGAGGCAGCAGUAGG
rnacentral:rRNA from 1 species